GGGGCAGCAUGGUCUUAGCUUGCUAAGGCCGAUGGCGACCGGCGCAGCGGGUGAGUAACACGUAUCCAACCUGCCGUCUACUCUUGGACAGCCUUCUGAAAGGAAGAUUAAUACAAGAUGGCAUCAUGAGUCCGCAUGUUCACAUGAUUAAAGGUAUUCCGGUAGACGAUGGGGAUGCGUUCCAUUAGAUAGUAGGCGGGGUAACGGCCCACCUAGUCUUCGAUGGAUAGGGGUUCUGAGAGGAAGGUCCCCCACAUUGGAACUGAGACACGGUCCAAACUCCUACGGGAGGCAGCAGUGAGGAAUAUUGGUCAAUGGGCGAGAGCCUGAACCAGCCAAGUAGCGUGAAGGAUGACUGCCCUAUGGGUUGUAAACUUCUUUUAUAAAGGAAUAAAGUCGGGUAUGGAUACCCGUUUGCAUGUACUUUAUGAAUAAGGAUCGGCUAACUCCGUGCCAGCAGCCGCGGUAAUACGGAGGAUCCGAGCGUUAUCCGGAUUUAUUGGGUUUAAAGGGAGCGUAGAUGGAUGUUUAAGUCAGUUGUGAAAGUUUGCGGCUCAACCGUAAAAUUGCAGUUGAUACUGGAUAUCUUGAGUGCAGUUGAGGCAGGCGGAAUUCGUGGUGUAGCGGUGAAAUGCUUAGAUAUCACGAAGAACUCCGAUUGCGAAGGCAGCCUGCUAAGCUG
rnacentral:rRNA from 1 species